ACGGAAGGCAGCAGUGGGGAAUAUUGCACAAUGGGGGAAACCCUGAUGCAGCGACGCCGCGUGAGCGAUGAAGUAUUUCGGUAUGUAAAGCUCUAUCAGCAGGGAAGAUAAUGACGGUACCUGACUAAGAAGCCCCGGCUAACUACGUGCCAGCAGCCGCGGUAAUACGUAGGGGGCAAGCGUUAUCCGGAUUUACUGGGUGUAAAGGGUGCGUAGGUGGCAUGGCAAGUCAGAAGUGAAAACCCGGGGCUCAACCCCGUGGAUUGCUUUUGAAACUGUCAAGCUAGAGUGCAGGAGAGGAAAGCGGAAUUCCUAGUGUAGCGGUGAAAUGCGUAGAUAUUAGGAGGAACACCAGUGGCGAAGGCGGCUUUCUGGACUGUAACUGACACUGAGGCACGAAAGCGUGGGGAGCAAACAGGAUUAGAUACCCUGGUA
rnacentral:rRNA from 1 species